UAGGGAAUCUUCGGCAAUGGACGGAAGUCUGACCGAGCAACGCCGCGUGAGUGAAGAAGGUUUUCGGAUCGUAAAGCUCUGUUGUAAGAGAAGAACGAGUGUGAGAGUGGAAAGUUCACACUGUGACGGUAUCUUACCAGAAAGGGACGGCUAACUACGUGCCAGCAGCCGCGGUAAUACGUAGGUCCCGAGCGUUGUCCGGAUUUAUUGGGCGUAAAGCGAGCGCAGGCGGUUAGAUAAGUCUGAAGUUAAAGGCUGUGGCUUAACCAUAGUAGGCUUUGGAAACUGUUUAACUUGAGUGCAAGAGGGGAGAGUGGAAUUCCAUGUGUAGCGGUGAAAUGCGUAGAUAUAUGGAGGAACACCGGUGGCGAAAGCGGCUCUCUGGCUUGUAACUGACGCUGAGGUUUGAAAGCGUGGGGAGCAAACAGGAUUAGAUACCCUGGUAGUCCACGCUGUAAACGAUGAGUGCUAGGUGUUAGACCCUUUCCGGGGUUUAGUGCCGUAGCUACGCAUUAACACUCCGCCUGGGGAGUACGACCGCAAGGUUG
rnacentral:rRNA from 1 species